CUUUAAUGUCAUAGCACCCUGAACAUGUUCCAUCUCGUCAGGUCUCAGAAGCGAAGCAGGGUCGGGCCUGGCUAUUACUUGAAAGGGAGACUUACUGGUAAUGCAAGGAGCUGUAAGCU
rnacentral:rRNA from 1 species